rnacentral:tRNA from 5 species
GCGCCCGUAGUGAAAUGGAUAUCACAAUUGCCUUCGAAGCAAUUAUUGGGGGUUCGAAUCCCUCCGGGCGCA